rfam:Entamoeba invadens IP1 unplaced genomic scaffold scaff_1105074725197, whole genome shotgun sequence.
GCAUUCGUGCCCGAGUGGUCUAAGGGGGCCGAUUUAAGCUCGGCUGUCAUAACCGACGCGUGGGUUCGAACCCCACCGGAUGCA